rnacentral:snRNA from 1 species
GUUGAGCCCAACGAAAUCGGUAGAAGC